GACAGGGGGGGCAAGCGUUGUUCGGAAUAACUGGGCGUAAAGGGUCUGUAGGUGGUUUUUCAAGUCUUGGGUAAAACGCCGUGGCUCAACCAUGGUUUGGCCAAGGAGACUGGGAGACUAGAGGCUGGGAGAGGGAAGCGGAAUUUCUGGUGUAGCGGUGAAAUGCGUAGAGAUCAGAAAGAAGGCCGGUGGCGAAGGCGGCUUCCUGGAACAGUCCUGACAUUGAGAUACGAAAGCGUGGGGAGCAAACAGG
rnacentral:rRNA from 1 species